rnacentral:rRNA from 1 species
AUUGAACGCUGGCGGCAGGCCUAACACAUGCAAGUCGAACGAGUGGCGGACGGGUGAGUAAUGUCUGGGAAACUGCCUGAUGGAGGGGGAUAAAUAAUGGAAACGGUAGCUAAUACCGCAUACCAUCGGAGGUGCCCAGCUGGGAUUAGCUAGUAGGUGGGGUAAAGGCUCACCUAGGCGACGAUCCCUAGCUGGUCUGAGCGGAUGACCAGCCACACUGGAAAUGCGACACGGUCCAGACUCCGACGGGCGGCAGCAGUGGUGAAUAUUGCACAAUGGGCGCAAGCCUGAUGCAGCCAUGCCGCGUGUAUGAAGAAGGCCUUCGGGUUGUAAAGUACGUUCAGCGGGGAGGCGUGACCCGCAGAAGAGGCACGGGCUAACUCCGUGCCAGCGGCCGCGGUAAUAC